GGGUAUGAGGGAGAUUUGGCUGUGACAUCUGUCACCCCAUUGAUGGCCAGGGUUGAUUGGGCUAAUCUGGUUAUCUAGAUGGGUGUCCCCUUUCUCCCUCACCUCUCCCUGCUCAUUCCUCCCAGCUGUGCUUGGUGAAAGAGGAUGAUCCUUCCCAGAGACAGACCCAGUCUUCCAUCUUAGGUGGAGGGUAGAGUAGUAGCCGUGCUCCUCUGCUACAACCUCCAAACAAGCUCUCAAAAGAGUAGUCACGAUGAACCUUCCUGUAUCAAUGAGCAAGCUUCAACUAAUACUAACAUCUUGCCAUU
rnacentral:snRNA from 1 species